rnacentral:rRNA from 1 species
AGUACGGAUUCUGGGCGUAAGCGUGCGUAGGCGGUUAUUUAAGUCAGAUGUGAAAGCCCCGGGCUUAACCUGGGAACUGCAUUUGAUACUGGGUAACUAGAGUUUAAUAGAGGAGAGUGGAAUUUCAGGUGUAGCGGUGAAAUGCGUAGAGAUCUGAAGGAACACCAGUGGCGAAGGCGACUCUCUGGAUUAAAACUGACGCUGAGGUACGAAAGCGUGGGUAGCAAACAGGAUUAGAUACCCUGGUAGUCCACGCCGUAAACGAUGUCAACUAGCCGUUGGGCCUUUAUACAGGUUUAGUGGCGCAGCUAACGCAUUAAGUUGACCGCCUGGGGAGUACGGCCGCAAGGUUAAAACUCAAAUGAAUUGACGGGGGCCCGCACAAGCGGUGGAGCAUGUGGUUUAAUUCGAUGCAACGCGAAGAACCUUACCUACCCUUGACAUCCAUAGAAUC